rnacentral:ribozyme from 14 species
GAAGCAACAUGCAGCUCUACAUGCCCAUCUAAAGAAAUAAAAACUAGCAAGAAUCAGAAGAAAAACUGGAAAACAUGCAGC